rnacentral:tRNA from 1 species
GUCGGAUUGGCGAAACAGGUAGACGCAGCGGACUUAAAAUUCGUCGGCAUAUGUCUUGUGGGUUCGACUCCCUCAUCCGACACCA